GAUUGGAUCGUUUCGGAUCAAGGUUGUCUACUUUAGGAGCUCCGUGGUUUCGAUUGCGUUGACGUUUGGUGAAGCUCACGGGGUGCUUCAGACCCUCCGGUAUGAUUCGAAGACAAUCAAUUACCCCAUCUUUCAUGUGACCUUUGCUGCCGCUAGGGUUUUCGUUCUACGGAUGAGCUGAAUUGCGCACGAUACGGACGUGGUUUUGAAAAGGACUAGGACCUGCGGCGGGGUUGCGAGAAAUGUGUGUGUAUAUGCUGAAGCUCUCGGAGAUGUCUUAGACGAUCGGACAGCAGACCAGGAAGAGUAUCAUAUUGCCCCUCCCCGCAUCUAGUUAGUGGGGUGGCUCAUGUUGUGGAAAAGAAUAGGGGAUUGUGGCGAACGAAGUAGGUCUAUUGGACAGGAAAUAUGGUAGUGGAGGCAGCAGAGGAUCGAGGGGGUGGAAGGAUGAGGUCCGGUGCUCCGCUGCAGAUCAAGCUUGUACUAUUGGGCGACGGGCGUGUAGGAAAGACGUCUCUUACUCUGCGAUAUGUUAACAAUAUAUUCUCUGAGAAGCAAACGGCUACGAUUCAGGCCUCUUAUUUGACAAAGCGCCUCGUUGUAGAUGGGCAAGCUGUCAAUCUUUGCAUUUGGGACACAGCUGGUCAGGAGCGAUUCCAUGCACUUGGUCCUAUCUACUACCGUGAUGCUGAUGCGGCGCUGUUGGUGUACGACUUGCUGGACAAAGACAGUUUCGAUCGCGUUCAAAGCUGGGUGCGAGAGCUGAAAAAAAUGGCUUCUAAAAAGAUCGUAUUGGCCAUCGCUGGAAACAAAAGUGACAUGGAUAAGUUGCGCCAGGUGAACAUGGAAGAUUCCGUGAAGUACGCGGAGUUAAUAGGGGCAAAACAUUUUGUGACCUCUGCCAAACUUAACACUGGAAUUGAGGAGGCUUUUAUGGACAUAGCUCGUCGCGUUACACAACAAAGAUUGGCUGAGGACCCCGAGAGUCUUGCUGGUGGUUCGCGACGAAAGAGCGUGGUUAUCAUUGACAAGCUACCUCAAGAAACAACCUCACCCACUUCUAGAUGCUGCUCUUGAUUGUCGACCUGUAAAUAAUUUAGGUUUUCACGUUUUUACCUGGCCAUUGUGUUGCAAUCUUUUUGUAUGCAGUCACAUUCUUUACCAUCACUUUGACGAUGGCAUAGUGCUCUGAUGUCUUAUUGAUCAGAAAGUUUUUGACAUUAUCCCAUUUCGCUACAUGCAGGCCACUGCACUUAUUCAUGAGAUAUGGGUUUUCAAGGUCAGUGCAUUCAUAAGCAUAUGUAACUACCUUUGAAAGCCGUUGACUUUAUUGAGUGAUAUCCCUGUGCCAAGGGCUUGGAGAAAGACAUAAGAAUUACAAAUUGGCGAUUCUCCGCUCUCUUUGUAUUUGAUUUUGCUCCCGUAAAUUACAUAUUGCCAAACAGUUUCUUGAAUCA